AGUUAGCGGCGGACGGGUGAGUAACACGUGGGUAACCUGCCCGUAAGACUGGGAUAACUCCGGGAAACCGGGGCUAAUACCGGAUAACAUUUUGAACCGCAUGGUUCGAAAUUGAAAGGUGGCUUCGGCUGUCACUUAUGGAUGGACCCGCGGCGCAUUAGCUAGUUGGUGAGGUAACGGCUCACCAAGGCAACGAUGCGUAGCCGACCUGAGAGGGUGAUCGGCCACACUGGGACUGAGACACGGCCCAGACUCCUACGGGAGGCAGCAGUAGGGAAUCUUCCGCAAUGGACGAAAGUCUGACGGAGCAACGCCGCGUGAGUGAUGAAGGCUUUCGGGUCGUAAAACUCUGUUGUUAGGGAAGAACAAGUGCUAGUUGAAUAGGCUGGCACCUUGACGGUCCCUAACCAGAAAGCCACGGCUAACUACGUGCCACCAGCCGCGGUAAUACGUAGGUGGCAAGCGUUAUCCGGAAUUAUGGGGCGUAAAGCGCGCGCAGGUGGUUCCUUAAGCCUAAUGUGAAAGCCCACGGCUCACCCGUGAAGGGUCAUUGAAAACUGGGAGACUUGAUUGCAAAAAAGGAAAGUGAAAUUCCAUGUGUAGCGGUGAAAUGCGUAAAGAUAUGAAGGAACACCAGUGGCGAAGGCGACUUUCUGGUCUGUAACUGACACUGAGGCGCGAAAGCGUGGGGAGCAAACAGGAUUAGAUACCCGGUGAGUCCACGCCGUAAACGAUGAGUGCUAAGUGUAAGAGGGUUCCCGCCCUUUAG
rnacentral:rRNA from 1 species